UUUUUAUUAGGUCGUAUAAACAUAUGAAACACAAAAGCUUAUAGGACCUUUAAAAAAAAAAAAAAAAAACUGGAAUUUUAUCGUUUUUGAAACGAUGCAAUUUUUUUUUCCAAACCUGAAAUUGCUACACACAAAAAAAAUUCACCCUAAUGACAAAAGUAACUUACUUUAGAAUUAAAAAGUUGUUAAAAUUUGCUACAUUAAAAGCUUUUUUCUUGUUUUGAAAAUGAAAACUUUUACUGCUACAGUUUUUGAAAAUCUCAUUGCUCACUGAUUUAAAAGUUUUCACUUUUAAUUCGACUGUAAAAUUUCUUUCAUUUUGUCGUUCUCGUGUAACCGUGUUCGCCUAAGUCCAAAAUGUAAACAAACGUUUUGGUGAUUCCGGUGAGUGGAGGUCCACAACGACUAGCAAAACCGAACGCUGCCAGGACUUGGACGCGAAAACCUUCGAAAGUGGAUGGUGCGGGCUCGGGUGCGGGUGCGGAACAAGGUUGGAAGAUUAGGGGAAAGUUGGUUUUCAAAAGGAUAAGGCUAUGGCUGCAGCUUCCUGCAGGACUUGCAGCUGUUUCACGACUUAAAUGGAAGCCGUUUAUGUGGUUGCCGAAGAUCGGAGGUCGGGAUGUGGAUUUGCACCGGUUGUAUUCGGUGGUGGUGGCCCGGGGUGGGUAGACGAGAUUGACGUUGAAGCAGAUUUACAUCCGCUUUUUGAACAAGUACGAAAAAGUUAAUUUUCACGGUGAGGAGAAGGAUCCGACGGAAGAGAGAAACGACGAGUAGCGGCAUAAUCGGAGGUGGUCAGCGCAGAUGUUGCACUCGGUGCCAGCGGUUUACGACCAUCAGCAGCAUUAUGUGCCAGAAGUGAUGACGGGACAGUGUGGGAUGUCCCGAGGGUCCGCAGUAGCCUGUCCCAUUUUGAGGUCAUGUCGAGGAAUUUCAGGUGCUCACUUCUUAAAUGAUAGAUUAUGAUGUUAGGAACAAUGUUUUCUUAGACAAGAAAAAAUAAUAAAAUACUUUCUCGCACCCCCUAGUCGAUUUACUGAAAAAAGUAACUUUUUUGAACAAAUUUUCUAAAAUCGCUUGGAAUCAAUACAAAAACUGUUUAGAUCAGGUGUGUAUUAUCUUCAAACGAUAGGUUUUUGUCUAUAGAUUAAGAUGCACUAUCAAUAUUGGACGAAAAUUUAAGUUUUUGGACUCUCCCAGGCGGAUUUGUGUCGAAAAAAUCGUAUUUUUUCGAAACUUUUUUCAGAAAUGUUCAUUUAAUUUAGGGUAGCCUAUUUUUCCCAGUGAAACCAAUACGUGCAGCUUGUAGGAAAUUUCAUGGCGAACAUUUUUCCCUCUGAGAAAAUGCAAUUUCGACACUCCAGAGCCGAGAUAUUUGAGUUUUAGUGAGGAAAAAAGUGCCAAUUUUCAAAAUUUCUCAGAAUUCAGAAGCAAGGCCUACUAAUUACACGAUGUAGCAAGCAUAUGUCUCAAAGGUCAGGGUAUGCUUUUUUAUAGUAAUUUUGGCCGCUGAAUCCGAAUCUGAAAUCAAAUUUCGUGCAAACAGUGAUGUUUUGGAGCUACACCCUUUUGGAAUGUUAUUUGCGUGUUUAAGAGGCAGUUUUUGUAAAUAUUGCUCGGUUUGUUCUAGAGGUCGUAUCGAGGUGCUCCGAUUUGGAUGAAACUGUCAGCGUUUGUUUGUCUAUACAUGAGAUGAACUCAUGCCAAAUAUGAGCCCUCUAAGACAAAGGGAAGUGGGGUAAAACGGGCAUUGAAGAUUGAGGUCCAAAAAACAUAAAAAAUCUUAAAAUUGCUCGCAUUUAAGUAAAACUUCAUCAAUUCCAACUAUCUUAGAUGCAUUUGAAUGGUCUUUUGAAGCACUUCAAAAUGAGCCAUAGACAUCCAAGAUUGGUUUAACUUUUUCUCAUAGCUUUUGCAAAUUACUGUUAAAAAUUGUUUUUUUUUUAAACCUCAAUAUAUUUUUGCAACAGCCUCCAACACCCAUACUCUUUUAGUUCAAGUUAGGGAAUUUCAUGGACUAUAAGCCUACGGUAAUAACUUUUUUGGCCAAUCGCAGUUUUUCUCAUAGUUUUUCGAUUUUUCUAUAACAAACAUUUUACAACGUUAGUUAUUGUCCUGUAGGCAUCCAUAGUGGCACUUUUUAGUCUCACUUUUGUCAUAUUCGAAAUCCUCGGAAAAUUCAAACUUCAAUGCCCGUUUUACCCCACUUCCCUUUGUCUUAGAGGGCUCAUAUUUGGCAUGAGUUCAUCUCAUGUAUAGACAAACAAACGCUGACAGUUUCAUCCAAAUCGGAGCACCUCGAUACGACCUCUAGAACAAACCGAGCAAUAUUUACAAAAACUGCCUCUUAAACACGCAAAUAACAUUCCAAAAGGGUGUAGCUCCAAAACAUCACUGUUUGCACGAAAUUUGAUUUCAGAUUCGGAUUCAGCGGCUAAAAUUACCAUAAAAAGCAUACCCUGACCUUUGAGACAUAUGCUUGCUACAUCGUGUAAUUAGUAGGCCUUGCUUCUGAAUUCUGAGAAAUUUUGAAAAUUGGCACUUUUUUCCUCACUAAAACUCAAAUAUCUCGGCUCUGGAGUGUCGAAAUUGCAUUUUCUCAGAGGGAAAAAUGUUCGCCAUGAAAUUUCCUACAAGCUGCACGUAUUGGUUUUACUGGGAAAAAUAGGCUACCCUAAAUUAAAUGAACAUUUCUGAAAAAAGUUUCGAAAAAAUACGAUUUUUUCGACACAAAUCCGCCUGGAAGAGUCCAAAAACUUAAAUUUUCGUCCAAUAUUGAUAGUGCAUCUUAAUCUAUAGACAAAAACCUAUCGUUUGAAGAUAAUACACACCUGAUCUAAACAGUUUUUGUAUUGAUUCCAAGCGAUUUUAGAAAAUUUGUUCAAAAAAGUUACUUUUUUCAGUAAAUCGACUAGGGGGUGCGAGAAAGUAUUUUAUUAUUUUUUCUUGUCUAAGAAAACAUUGUUCCUAAAAUCAUAAUCUAUCAUUUAAGAAGUGAGCACCUGAAAUUCCUCGACAUGACCUCAAAAUGGGACAGGCUAGUCCGCAGUCCAUUUCUCGUUGCGGGACGAGUAUUACCUAAACAUCCGGAAGAACAGUUUGCACUAGUUCUGGAAGAACCGUCUGUACGAAAGCCGCAGGUCCUGGAGCUGUCGUACUCAGAUUAUUUCCAGAGGUUGGAGCGAGAUCCGACGAACCUGACCAAAAACAUCUACCUGGAAUACCGAAGAAGUUACAGCUUUCGGCCGGAUGAACUUUGACGGCGAGUUGGCAAUAUCUGUAUCAUUCUCGAACUAGGACGAAGUGAUCGUGAACUAUCCGUUCAUGCGCUUCACUUCCUAGCCGGAAAACGUCGACUUCCCUUCCCAAAUCAACAACCAAUGGCCAACUCCUCCAAGCCUGUCCUGAUGAUGGCCGGCAACGAGACCACCCUGUUCUCUACAUCGCUGUCGCGCUCCAAAAUAAAGGCCGCGAUGUUGCUCCUCAACGAAACAUCCAUUCGUAACCUGCACAGCCUGGGGCCUUCGAACGUGACCGGUGGCGUACCGUAAGAAUCGGUAUAGCUUGGACGCGGAAGUUGGCCAACCAUAAGCAGAUCCAUUAAAUACAAAAAAAUAAUCGAAAACAUACUGUUUUAAUAUUAAAAUAUUGAAAUAAAAUCCAUCACAUGUUUCGAAAAUCAUCACUGUAAUGUUAAAUGUUAUU